GGAAGCAGCAGGUGUGCUGGAAAAGUUGAGAAAGAACAUUACACAUCUUAAUGUCGAAUUCUGGCUGCACUGGAGGGGAAGCCUCUCUCUGGGAUUGUAUACGAUGGGAGUGGAAACAGACUGCGUGUCAUUUAAAUAUGGAAGCAAGUUUGAUCUGCUCAGCCCACAGGCAGCCCAGGCUGGUUGGAGCUGAUAUGCCCUGCUCUGGACGUGUUGAAGUGAAACAUGCAGACACAUGGCGCUCUGUCUGUGAUUCUGAUUUCUCUCUUCAUGCUGCCAAUGUGCUGUGCAGAGAAUUAAACUGUGGAGAUGCCAUAUCUCUUUCUGUGGGAGAUCACUUUGGAAAAGGGAAUGGUCUAACUUGGGCCGAAAAGUUCCAGUGUGAAGGGAGUGAAACUCACCUUGCAUUAUGCCCCAUUGUUCAACAUCCGGAAGACACUUGUAUCCACAGCAGAGAAGUUGGAGUUGUCUGUUCCCGAUAUACAGAUGUCCGACUUGUGAAUGGCAAAUCCCAGUGUGACGGGCAAGUGGAGAUCAACGUGCUUGGACACUGGGGCUCACUG
rnacentral:lncRNA from 1 species